GCUCAGAACGAACGCUGGCGGCAGGCUUAACACAUGCAAGUCGAACGCAUCGCAAGAUGAGUGGCAGACGGGUGAGUAACGCGUGGGAACAUACCCUUUUCUACGGAAUAGCUCUGGGAAACUGGAAUUAAUACCGUAUACGCCCUACGGGGGAAAGAUUUAUCGGGGAAGGAUUGGCCCGCGUUGGAUUAGCUAGUUGGUGGGGUAAAGGCCUACCAAGGCGACGAUCCAUAGCUGGUCUGAGAGGAUGAUCAGCCACAUUGGGACUGAGACACGGCCCAAACUCCUACGGGAGGCAGCAGUGGGGAAUAUUGGACAAUGGGCGCAAGCCUGAUCCAGCCAUGCCGCGUGAGUGAUGAAGGCCUUAGGGUUGUAAAGCUCUUUCACCGAUGAAGAUAAUGACGGUAGUCGGAGAAGAAGCCCCGGCUAACUUCGUGCCAG
rnacentral:rRNA from 1 species